rnacentral:rRNA from 1 species
GCACCUGGGAUCAUGUGCCUACCCGAAGUCCAACUCCGAUUGUGGCUUUGGAUGUCCCAUAGCGGGUGAAAGGCCCGUGCGGGUAGGCUGGUCAUGGUCCUCAGAUGUGUGCGCUUUCGAGUCGGAUUGCUUGAGAAUGCAGUCCAAAGUGGGUGGUAAACUCCAUCCAAGGCUAAAUACUGGCGCGAGUCCGAUAGUAAACAAGUACCGUGAGGGAAAGUUGAAAAGUACUCUGAAGAGAGAGUAAAUAGUACGUGAAACCGGUUGCAGGGAAGCUGGUGGAGUCAAGCUUCAUGCCUUGGAGAUUGUCAUUGGGAGCUAUGUGUGUUUGGUGCACGUUAGUCGAUAUGGAAAGGAUUGGGUGGCCUCGGUCACUUCAAGUCGUUCCGGGUUGUGCGUUUGUGCUGGCAACUUUGCGCCGUUCCCUGUGCUCUAUCUCUUGUGGCAUAGAUCACGGUCAAUGGUGACGAGCGAUGCGAUUGACUAACUGUACUUUGGUAGGCGCGAGUUUGCCGGGUGCAGGAUGGCAGGUCCCACUUGUAUU